rnacentral:rRNA from 1 species
AAUAGAUACCCGGGUAGUCCACGCCGUAAACGAUGAGUGCUAAGUGUUAGAGGGUUUCCGCCCUUUAGUGCUGCAGCUAACGCAUUAAGCACUCCGCCUGGGGAGUACGGUCGCAAGACUGAAACUCAAAGGAAUUGACGGGGGCCCGCACAAGCGGUGGAGCAUGUGGUUUAAUUCGAAGCAACGCGAAGAACCUUACCAGGUCUUGACAUCCUCUGACAACUCUAGAGAUAGAGCGUUCCCCUUCGGGGGACAGAGUGACAGGUGGUGCAUGGUUGUCGUCAGCUCGUGUCGUGAGAUGUUGGGUUAAGUCCCGCAACGAGCGCAACCCUUGAUCUUAGUUGCCAGCAUUUAGUUGGGCACUCUAAGGUGACUGCCGGUGACAAACCGGAGGAAGGUGGGGAUGACGGUCAAAUCAUCAUGCCCCUUACUGACCUGGGCGUACACACGUGCUACAAUGGAGUGGUACGAAAGGACGUGCAAGACCGCGAGGUCGAAGCCGAAUCCCACUAAAACCAACUUCUCAGUUCGGAGUUGUAGGU